UAGAGUUUGAUCCUGGCUCAGGACGAACGCUGGCGGCGUGCCUAAUACAUGCAAGUCGAGCGGACAGAAGGGAGCUUGCUCCCGGAUGUUAGCGGCGGACGGGUGAGUAACACGUGGGUAACCUGCCUGUAAGACUGGGAUAACUCCGGGAAACCGGAGCUAAUACCGGAUAGUUCCUUGAACCGCAUGGUUCAAGGAUGAAAGACGGUUUCGGCUGUCACUUACAGAUGGACCCGCGGCGCAUUAGCUAGUUGGUGGGGUAAUGGCUCACCAAGGCGACGAUGCGUAGCCGACCUGAGAGGGUGAUCGGCCACACUGGGACUGAGACACGGCCCAGACUCCUACGGGAGGCAGCAGUAGGGAAUCUUCCGCAAUGGACGAAAGUCUGACGGAGCAACGCCGCGUGAGUGAUGAAGGUUUUCGGAUCGUAAAGCUCUGUUGUUAGGGAAGAACAAGUGCGAGAGUAACUGCUCGCACCUGACGGUACCUANCCNGAA
rnacentral:rRNA from 1 species